GAAAAUUACAGAUUAAUUUCCCUUAUGAACGUACAUACAAAAAUACUCAAGAAAUACUUCAAACCGAAUCCAAGAACAUAUCAAAAAUGAUCAUCCAGCAUGAUCAAAUAAGUUUCAUAUAUACCAGAAAUACAGGAAUGGUUCAAUAUACAAAAAUAAAAAAAUGUAAUAUGCCAUAUAAACAAACUAAAUGAAAAAAAUGACAUGAUUAUCUCAUUAGAUGCAGACAGAAAAUCUAGCACCCCUUCAUG
rnacentral:lncRNA from 1 species